rnacentral:rRNA from 1 species
GGAUUAGGCAUGCAAGUCGAACGAAGUAUGGGGCAACCUAUACUUAGUGGCGAAAGGGUUGGUAAUACAUGGAUAACCUGCCUUUAACUUGGGAAUAACGAUUGGAAACGGUCGCUAAUACCUAAUGUGUUCUGUAAGGUAUCUUACGGUAAUCAAAGUUGGGGACCUUCGGGCCUAGCGGUUAAAGAGGGGUUCAUGGGAUAUCAGCUUGUUGGUGUGGUAAAGGCGCACCAAGGCUAUGACGUCUAGGCGGGUUGAGAGAUUGACCGCCAACACUGGGACUGAGACACUGCCCAGACUCCUACGGGAGGCUGCAGUCGAGAAUCAUUCGCAAUGGGCGAAAGCCUGACGAUGCGACGCCGUGUGAGCGAAGAAGGCCUUCGGGUUGUAAAGCUCUUUCGCUUGGGAACAAGAAAAAUAGGUGAAUUAAUCUAUKGAUUUGAGGGUAYCAGGUAAAGAAAGCACCCGGCCUAACUCCCGUGCCAGCAGCUGCGGUAAUACGGAGGGUGCAAGCAUUAAUCGGAUUUAUUGGGCGUAAAGGGCGCGUAGGCGGCGGUGCAAGUCAGAUGUGAAAUUCCGGAGCUCAACUCCGGAGCUGCAUUUGAAACUGCAUUGCUCGAGGAUAGGCGGAGAAAAUGGAAUUCUACAUGUAGCGGUGGAAUGCGUAGAUAUGUGGAGGAACACCAGUGGCGAAAGCGAUUUUCUAGCUUAUUUCUGACGCUGAGGCGCGAAAGCAAGGGGAGCAAACAGGAUUAGAUACCCUGGUAGUCCUUGCCGUAAACGAUGCAUACUUGAUGUAACCGGGCUCAACCCUGGUUUUGUCGUAGCUAACGUGGUAAGUAUGCCGCCUGAGGAGUACGUUCGCAAGGAUAAAACUCAAAAGAAUUGACGGGGGCCCGCACAAGCAGUGGUGCAUGUGGUUUAAUUCGAUGCAACGCGAAGAACCUUACCCAGACUUGACAUGCAGAGGACGUUACUGGAAACAGUAAUUUCCGAAAGGACCUUUGCACAGGUGCUGCAUGGCUGUCGUCAGCUCGUGCCGUGAGGUGUUGGGUUAAGUCCCGCAACGAGCGCAACCCUUAUCGUUAGUUGCCAGCAUUUCGGAUGGGGACUCUAACGAGACUGCCCAGGUUAACUGGGAGGAAGGUGAGGAUGAUGUCAAGUCCGCAUGGCCCUUAUGUCUGGGGCUACACACGUGCAACAAUGGCAGGUACAGAAGGCAGCGAAGCCGCGAGGUGGAGCAAAUCCUAAAAAGCCUGUCUCAGUUCGGAUUGUAGUCUGCAAUUUGACUACAUGAAGUUGGAAUUGCUAGUAAUGGCGUGUCAGCAACAACGCCGUGAAUACGUUCCCGGGCCUUGUACACACCGCCCGU